CCUACGGGUGGCUGCAGUGGGGAAUAUUGCACAAUGGGCGAAAGCCUGAUGCAGCAACGCCGCGUGAAGGAAGAAGGCCUUCGGGUCGUAAACUUCUGUCCUUGGGGAAGAAGAACUGACGGUACCCAAGGAGGAAGCCCCGGCUAACUACGUGCCAGCAGCCGCGGUAAUACGUAGGGGGCAAGCGUUAUCCGGAAUUAUUGGCCGUAAAGAGUACGUAGGUGGCAACCUACGCGCAGGGUUUAAGGCAAUGGCUCAACCAUUGUUCGCCCUGCGAACUGGGAUGCUUGAGUGCAGGAGAGGAAAGCGGAGUUCCGAGUGUAGCGGUGAAAUGCGUAGAUAUUAGGAGGAACACGGGUGGCGAAGGAGGCCUGCUGGACUGUGACUGACGUUGAGGCCCGAAGGCGUGGGGAGCAAACAGGAUUAGAUACCCUAGUAGUC
rnacentral:rRNA from 1 species